GACGUAGGCAGCGAGCGUUGUUCGGAGUUACUGGGCGUAAAGGGUGUGUAGGCGGUUAUUUAAGUUUGGGGUGAAAUCUCCCGGCUCAACCGGGAGGGUGCGCCGAAUACUGAAUGACUUCGAGUGCGGGAGAGGAGAGUGGAAUUCCUGGUGUAGCGGUGAAAUGCGUAGAUAUCAGGAGGAACACCGGUGGUGUAGACGGCUCUCUGGACCGUAACUGACGCUGAGACACGAAAGCGUGGGUAGCAAACAGG
rnacentral:rRNA from 1 species